AGGAUGAACGCUGGCGGCGUGCUUAACACAUGCAAGCCGAACGAUGAGGGCUGGAGCUUGCUCUGGCUGGAUUAGUGGCGAACGGGUGAGUAACACGUGAGUAACCUGCCCCAGACUCUGGGAUAAGCGCUGGAAACGGCGUACUAAUACCGGAUACGAGCUUCAGCCGCAUGGCUAGGAGCUA
rnacentral:rRNA from 1 species